UGUUUGUUGGGAACAUUUGCAUUUUCAGGUAGACUGCGGUCAAUCCAAUACAAAACCUUGUAACGACUUGAAUUUAUAGGCCCACGGCCCAGCAGUUCGGCCACUACGGCAGAAAAGUGAACCUUAUCCCGUCCCCUACCUCCGCCGGCCGCCCCACCACACCUCCCGGCGGCGAUCUUGACCGUCUCCCUACUCCCGAUGCCUCCCUCCCACCCGCGCGCUCCUGUGCCUGAGCAUUGUGCUUUCCCGCAGCCGCAGCCGCCGCCGCUGCCGUCUCCGGUAGCCCACUGCCGCCCUCCUCCGCCGCCGCCGCACCGGGCAAGAUCCGGCAACGAGACGGGGACUAGUUCAGUGAGGAUUGCUUGCUAGUCGAAUUCACCAAUACUACUACAAAUGCACGCGCCACGAUUACUACUACUCCCUCCGUUACUAAAUAUAAAUCUUUUUAGAGAUUUCAGUGCGGACUAGAUACGGAUGUUUAUAGACGGAUUUUAGAGUGAGAUUCGUCUAUUUUGCUCCUUAUGUAGUCCAUAUCGAAAUCUCUAAAAGGAGAUAUAUUUAGGAACGGAGGGAGCACACGGUAAGUGGCAACUACUUUUUCCAUUACUUGUACUCUGCCAAUCUGCAGUCUGUUGUGGAAUCUGAUGUCAUACCCUUCCCUGGUAAUACAAAUAUGUCCACAGUAG